rnacentral:rRNA from 1 species
UAGGGAAUCUUCCGCAAUGGACGCAAGUCUGACGGAGCAACGCCGCGUGAGUGAAGAAGGAUUUCGGUUCGUAAAACUCUGUUGUUAGAGAAGAACAGCGCAUAGAGUAACUGUUAUGCGUGUGACGGUAUCUAACCAGAAAGCUACGGCUAACUACGUGCCAGCAGCCGCGGUAAUACGUAGGUGGCAAGCGUUGUCCGGAUUUAUUGGGCGUAAAGCGAGCGCAGGCGGUCAAUUAAGUCUGAUGUGAAAGCCCCCGGCUCAACCGGGGAGGGUCAUUGGAAACUGGUUGACUUGAGUGCAGAAGAGGAGAGUGGAAUUCCAUGUGUAGCGGUGAAAUGCGUAGAUAUAUGGAGGAACACCAGUGGCGAAGGCGACUCUCUGGUCUGUAACUGACGCUGAGGCUCGAAAGCGUGGGUAGCAAACAGG